rnacentral:rRNA from 1 species
UGCGUAGGUGGUCCGUUAAGUCAGUUGUGAAAUCCCCGGGCUCAGCCCGGGAACUGCUUCUGAUACUGGCGGACUUGAGGCCAGUAGAGGUCACUGGAACUGACGGUGGAGCGGUGAAAUGCGUAGAUAUCGUCAGGAACGCCGGUGGUGAAGACGGGUGACUGGGCUGGUUCUGACACUGAGGCACGAAAGCGUGGGGAGCGAACGGGAUUAGGAUACCCCGGUAGUCCACGCCCUAAACGAUGCAGACUAGAUUGCAGCGGUUACACCCCGUUGCGGUCGGAGCGAAAUUGUUAAGUCUGCCACCUGGGAAGUACGGUCGCAAGGCUAAA